GAAUGAGACGCUCUGCCCAGCCCAGGGACUGCCACAGCGACGAUCGCACUCCCUACCACCUCCCCCAGAAACGGUUGCAUUUAGGGCGGCUUCUGCUGUCUUGAAAAUCUCCAGAUACACUGACUUCUUCCCUUCAGCCUUCUCAAUUUACUCAUCUCUCCUGCUGUCAAAAAUGUUCUCUUCCUGGCUCCCCAAGCCCCCCCCCCCUCAAUUGUUCGCCUUGCCAUUGGUCACCAUGACAACCACCUGUAUUUAAUGGGCUUAAGUCCUCUGCUCCCCCCGCCAGCUGCACUCUGCAAACUCAGAACAUCACUCUAACCACCAGUUCCAACAGCCUCUCGUCUCCUCAGUGCCCGCCCCACUGACCCUGAGGUGUAUUUUAACAUCUCUGAGAAUCCCUUCUGCUUAAAAUGCUAAGCUGAAGGCCUGAAGCCUCCUGCUUGUAAGAAGGAAUGCCACUCUCUGCUCUCUGCCUGCCUGUCUAAAGCCUCUGCCUUCAGAAGCAAACUCAGGUUGGACCUUACCCCCACAGUCUUUCUGGUUCUCGGGCCUUGGACUUGGACUAGAAUCUCACCACGUCUCUCCAGCUUCCCACCUGCAGAUCUCAGGCCUCACACCCAUCUCCUGUACCUUCCAUCUCCGAUCUACCCUCACUGCGGCCACCUCCAAGACCUCUCACAAAAUGCAGAUCUGAUUGUAAUUUCCCCCUUCUCAGAAGCCUUUAGUGAAUCCUGAUUGCCUACAAAAUGACACCACUUAGCAGAGAGUGGGAAGAAGGUUGGCUACUCUGGACCCAAACAUCUUUGCUCCUCCCUUUACCAUCUCCACAUCGACCUCUUGGCUCAAGUCCAGGCUUCUCCAUAUCCUCACCUUCAGCUAAUUAUUCCUGGGCCUUCAGCAACCUGGAAUGCCCAGUUUCGUGGGCCUCCAAGGUUAACUUCAAGGGCUGCCUUCUCCUGGAAGCUACUGCCUUUCCCUCCUGCCCAGUGUGAAUAAACCUCUCCCUGCUCAGCACACUGUGCACACCGGCUCUAGGGCACCUAUUCUGCAGUGCAUGGAGAGUGAUCAUCCAUUGCAGGAAGACUUUGCUUUCUACAUGUCUGUUUGCUCAGCACCUGGAUCAGAAUGAGGGUCACCAAUGAGUGACAUUGAAAACCUGAUGAGGAGAGUAUGCUGGUUAAAG
rnacentral:lncRNA from 1 species